ACCAUCUGCACUAUUGUAUAAAGAUGCCUCAAUCAACUUGUAUGAAAGCGUCUCUUCUCAAAUAAGUACCUGUCAAGCAUUGGUUUGCAUUGAAGUUGUCUAAAAAUGUCAAUUUUUGACUAACAUUACAGAAAGUGAUGUGUUCUGCAAGCUUUAACGCCCUGUAAGAAAGCACAGCGCUUUGUGAGAGCUAUGAGUCACAUUGUGAUGCAAGUGUGAGUCAAUGCGAUGAAGAAAUUCUGUUCAGUCCAAGUUAUGUGUUCACGGGAGCAUCAGUGGCUCGCUUUCCCAAACGAAGCGCUCAAAAGAGGCAAAAGGAGAAAUGUGAUAUUGACGCAACAUCAGCGGUCGACAAGCUCGCCAGUGCCCGAAGGGGAUCAAUAGAAUCACAAUGGUGAACCUCGCUGGGAAUAGUUUGCACGUUAUCGGUCUGGAAACAAAAGAUGUAACGAUUUACACAUAGGCUCUCGUUUUUCAGAGACGGCACGAAAGUUGCUCACAAAUCCAUUUGCAAGUAAAGCAAACACAACACUUUUGAAAAAGGGAAGCUUCAAAUGUCACAAGGUAUUUGACAAACAUCCUAUCAUAUGACUUCAACCAGUAGGUGUCGGUAAUGCGCAUUGAAGCUGGUGCCCCCUCGCCGUAAAACAAAACAAAGAAGAAGAUGACGUAACUUCCUGUUUACGAACAGAAAGGAAAGAAAAGAACCACUCACUGAAACAUCACUUCUUUUAUGCACGUUUUCUCCAAGCUAACGUUAUGCGCCGUUAUGCUAAAACAAGGAGAUUAUGCUUCUCUUUGGGUGAUCUCUAUUUUAUAACAUCUAUAGUAGUUUUUAAAUAGCGUGUAUGCAUAUAUACGCCUGAAUGUUGUUAUUCAAUAUAUCUACUGCAAUUUCACAUUAGAUUUCUGGUUUGAAAUGUACUUUUAUUAUUAUUCAUUAUUGUUAUUAUUCUAAUAAACAUUUAUGUUAAAACUU